rnacentral:lncRNA from 1 species
CUGUUCAUUUGAAGAUAGAACAAGAACAUUUGACAUAUUUAACUGAUUUAAAGAUGUUUGAAAUUUUGCUUUAUCCUUUAAUUAUUAAUUUUGGAUGUAACGUCUUCUGAUUGGCUAAUUUAUUUUGUAUGAGCCCAUAGACAUAAUUUAGUCAUGUGACCAUGACAUCAUCAAUGUUUUUUCAUGGUUUUCUAAGGUUUAAAAUGGAAUUUAAAAUUAAAUUAUAAGAAAUGACUAUAAUAUUUUUUCU